GGAAGUACAGGGCAUCAUUUCAGAAAAAGGUGGAGGCCUAAAAACAAAACCAUGUUUUUGGCCCGAUUCCUGAUUAGGAGUGAGGAAACUCAGGCUUUUUCAGUAACUUUCAGAUUUUUUCCCAAUCCUUCUACCCUGAGACAAGAUUUUAUAAAGGUCCUAGUCCAUGAAUUUUCCCCAGCCCAUUAAAUACCUCACCAGCUCCCCUUCUCCUCAUGCUCCCAAACUGGCGUUUAUUCUUAUUCCAGGAGAUGCUGUAAUGGGUGAUCUACAGCGCUGAGAUGAGGAAAAUGGGGGCAGACCAGCACGUUUAAGGUCAUUCCAUUCCUGUUGUCUAUCUUUCACCUGAAGACCCCCACUCAUCUUUUCAAAUAUCCACUCAGCAUGACUAAGCCACAGGCACAUUGUAAUGUGCUGGGGGCACAUUAGAAAAUAAAGAAAUGGUUUUUACCAACAUGGAACUUAGCAGAAGGAAAAGCCCCAAAAAAGGAAAGAAAAAAUAUGUGAUUAAUUACAAAUAAUAACUUUUAUGAAAGAAAUUCUGUACAGUGACAGAAAAUAACAAGGAGAGAAUGUGUUUAGAGUGAAUAGUUAGAAAAGGCCUCUCUGAGGUGCUGAAGUUGAAGCACAGGCCUGAAGGAUGAGAAGUCAGAUGUAUUAAUAGCAGAGGAGAGGGUUGGGUGUGGUGGCUCAUGCUUGUAAUCCCAGCACUUUGGGAGGCCAAGGCGGGCGGAUCACCUGAGAUCAGGAGUUCGAGACCAGCCUGGCCAACAUGGUGAAACCCCAUCUCUACUAAAAAUACAAAAAUUAGCCAGGUGUGGUGGCACACACCUGUAAUCCCAGGUACUCAGGAGGCUGAGGCAAGAGAAUCGCUUGAGCCUGGAGGCAGAGGUUGCAGUGAGCUGAGAUCGCACCACUGCACUCCAGCCUGGAUGACAAAGCAAAACUCAGUAAAAAAGCAGAGGAGAGAUCAUUCCAGGAAGAGAAUGCGGGUUAUGUAAAGACUCUGAGACACAAAAGGUGCUGAGUUGUUUGAGAACUUAAAAAGAGGCAGUGUGGCAGGAGUUAACUUUUGGACAAGAGACAUUUGCAAUGCCUGUGAGGUAUCCAAAGGGAGAUGUCAAGUAGACAGUUGAAUUCACCAAAGUGAGUCAGGGAAGUUUUAGCUGGAGAUAUUCAUUUGGUGUCAUCAGAACAUAAAUGUUAUUUAAAGCCACGGGGAUAGACAAGAUUGCUUAGGGAGAUAAUAUGAAGAAAGACAAGAGGAGGACCCAGGACCAAGUCAUGAGGAACUCCACACUUGUCUCAGGUGGAAAAGAAGGCAUCUUCAGAGAAGGCUGAGAAGUAGCAGCCAGAGAGAAGUCUCUUCCUUUCACUCUGCUGAGUGAAGCCCUUCCUGCCCUCAGGCUGGACCAUGGCUUCCAUGCUGCCCCUCUUUUCAAGGCUGCUUGUCUACAGUGAGCCCUGGUAUUCCUUGAACAUGCAUACCUUUCCCAGCGUGAGGGACAUGGACCGUGCCGUGCGAGGGACCCCAUCUUCUGCAGCAGGAGGGAGCAGAGAAGAGAACACAGGGAUUCCUGUUGCUAAAAGGUCUGUUUUCUCCUGCUAGCCACCCUCAUCAGCCAGAGUUCAAACCCUGACAGUGCCCAUGGAGAGAUCUGGUCCAAGGCACCAACCUCUUCCUGCUGGACUGAGAAAGAGCCUCCUACUGUGUCUCUCUUUACCUCAGCUUUUGCACACCUCCAAUAUAUUGUCCACUGAAGUCAGAAUAAUCUAAAAAUAAAGGCUGAUUACCUCAUGUGGUAUAAACUU
rnacentral:lncRNA from 1 species